UGAACACCUUACAGCUUUCAUUUUGCUUUAAUGUUUCAAUUCAAGCCGGUGUAAAAAUAAUUUCCAAGGCAUUUCUGUUUAUUCUUUAGUAAUCUCACUACUGGCUAUGUCAGCAAUAUCUUUUUCAAUCUGGUUCCUUUUGUAUAUGAUGUCACUGUGACCUCUUUGAAAUAUAGUGAUGGCUUUUACCUACUUUGAAAAGAAUUUUCACAUAGAGUCAGAAAAAAAAGGAAA
rnacentral:lncRNA from 1 species